rnacentral:rRNA from 2 species
UAGGGAAUAUUGCACAAUGGGGGAAACCCUGAUGCAGCGACGCCGCGUGAGUGAUUGAAGUAUUUCGGUAUGUAAAGCUCUAUCAGCAGGGAAGAUAAUGACGGUACCUGACUAAGAAGCCCCGGCUAACUACGUGCCAGCAGCCGCGGUAAUACGUAGGGGGCAAGCGUUAUCCGGAUUUACUGGGUGUAAAGGGAGUGUAGGCGGCCUGGCAAGCCAGAUGUGAAAGCCCGCGGCUCAACUGCGGGACUGCAUUUGGAACUGUUAGGCUUGAGUGCAGGAGAGGAAAGUGGAAUUCCUAGUGUAGCGGUGAAAUGCUUAGAUAUUAGGAGGAACACCAGUGGCGAAGGCGGCUUUCUGGACUGUAACUGACGCUGAGGCUCGAAAGCGUGGGGAGCAAACAGG